UACGAGGGGGGCGAGCGUUGUUCGGAAUUAUUGGGCGUAAAGGGUGCGUAGGCGGUUUUGUAAGUCUUAUGUGAAAUCUACAGGCUCAACUUGUAGUCUGCAUGAGAAACUGCAGGGCUUGUGUAUGGGAGAGGUGAGUGGAAUUCCUGGUGUAGCGGUGAAAUGCGUAGAUAUCAGGAGGAACACCUGUGGCGAAAGCGGCUCACUGGACCAUAACUGACGCUGAUGCACGAAAGCUAGGGGAGCAAACAGG
rnacentral:rRNA from 1 species